GAUGAACGCUGGCGGCGUGCCUAAUACAUGCAAGUCGAGCGAACGGACGAGAAGCUUGCUUUUCUGAUGUUAGCGGCGGACGGGUGAGUAACACGUGGAUAACCUACCUAUAAGACUGGGAUAACUUCGGGAAACCGGAGCUAAUACCGGAUAAUAUUUUGAACCGCAUGGUUCAAAAGUGAAAGACGGUCUUGCUGUCACUUAUAGAUGGAUCCGCGCUGCAUUAGCUAGUUGGUAAGGUAACGGCUUACCAAGGCAACGAUGCAUAGCCGACCUGAGAGGGUGAUCGGCCACACUGGAACUGAGACACGGUCCAGACUCCUACGGGAGGCAGCAGUAGGGAAUCUUCCGCAAUGGGCGAAAGCCUGACGGAGCAACGCCGCGUGAGUGAUGAAGGUCUUCGGAUCGUAAAACUCUGUUAUUAGGGAAGAACAUAUGUGUAAGUAACUGUGCACAUCUUGACGGUACCUAAUCAGAAAGCCACGGCUAACUACGUGCCAGCAGCCGCGGUAAUACGUAGGUGGCAAGCGUUAUCCGGAAUUAUUGGGCGUAAAGCGCGCGUAGGCGGUUUUUUAAGUCUGAUGUGAAAGCCCACGGCUCAACCGUGGAGGGUCAUUGGAAACUGGAAAACUUGAGUGCAGAAGAGGAAAGUGGAAUUCCAUGUGUAGCGGUGAAAUGCGCAGAGAUGUGGAGGAACACCAGUGGCGAAGGCGACUUUCUGGUCUGUAACUGACGCUGAUGUGCGAAAGCGUGGGGAUCAAACAGGAUUAGAUACCCUGGUAGUCCACGCCGUAAACGAUGAGUGCUAAGUGUUAGGGGGUUUCCGCCCCUUAGUGCCGCAGCUAACGCAUUAAGCACUCCGCCUGGGAGUACGACCGCAAGGUUGAAACUCAAAGGAAUUGACGGGGGCCCGCACAAGCGGUGGAGCAUGUGGUUUAAUUCGAAGCAACGCGAAGAACCUUACCAAAUCUUGACAUCCUUUGACAACUCUAGAGAUAGAGCCUUCCCCUUCGGGGGACAAAGUGACAGGUGGUGCAUGGUUGUCGUCAGCCCGUGUCGUGAGAUGUUGGGUUAAGUCCCGCAACGAGCGCAACCCUUAAGCUUAGUUGCCAUCAUUAAGUUGGGCACUCUAAGUUGACUGCCGGUGACAAACCGGAGGAAGGUGGGGAUGACGUCAAAUCAUCAUGCCCCUUAUGAUUUGGGCUACACACGUGCUACAAUGGACAAUACAAAGGGCAGCGAAACCGCGAGGUCAAGCAAAUCCCAUAAAGUUGUUCUCAGUUCGGAUUGUAGUCUGCAACUCGACUACAUGAAGCUGGAAUCGCUAGUAAUCGUAGAUCAGCAUGCUACGGUGAAUACGUUCCCGGGUCU
rnacentral:rRNA from 1 species